AAUAAAUAAAUAAAAUAAAUAAAUAAGUAAAUAAAUAAAAAAGUAAAAUAAAAUUAAAUGUACUACACAUAUUAGACACUCAAAAAAAAAAAAAGCACACUAACAUUAAUAAACAAACAAUAAACACUGGAUAUAUGGACGUUGUGGCAGUAUAUGAGUCUAUGAUUGUCAGUCUACGCACAGUCACUAUUCUUUGUGCUUAAAUAUAUUGACGAAGACACAGGAUAUGAUUCCAUCACCCCCUAAAACCAACAUGUAGGGAGGGAGGCUGCAGGACAACCAAGGACUCAGCGGAGGAUGUAGCCCCUCGUGCCAGAGCUACCAACAAGACAGUAAAUGUAAUUUCAAGCGUUUCAGUGUUAUUAUAUUAUUCCUAAGGCAGCUUCAUUGGAGUCUGGUAUCCUGCACAGUGUUAGAGAGCCUCUCAUUUAUUUGCUCAGUUCACUUCUCAAAUACUAUGUACCUAGUCCAAAAAUUAUUAAUAAAACUUUUUUUUCUCUUUUCAUGAAAAGAAAUAAUAUCUUACAUGGCAUUACACACUCAGUUUUAGCUAUUGUGCGUGAAAAAGAAAGUUAACGGUUUCAGGAGUUACAGUACUACAUACAAAGGAAAGUGCUGCGUGACGAAUAUUUACGAAAUAACGAAAUGCCUGGAAAAAUCAAUGUGACAAGCAAUUUUUGUAUGUCAUUUAAAGCACGCCGAGUCUAACUUGGUUAUUUGCUCCGACUGCAUAGUCAAUAAGGAUAUAAACCAUUUCAUUCUUUCCUACAUAUGAUGGUGUGAUCAGAUUACAGGUAAAACACGAUAUAUGAGAGCUAUGAAAUUAUUUCCGUCGACAUCUAGCAACAGCUCUCGUAGACCGGGAAACUAAGGACGGGUCACACUGAGCAGAGACAAGUGUAGCAAGGAGAGACAGCUGUCCGCUUCACUUCAGUUGUUUCUGAUAUUCGAUUAUCUGCGUUCUCUCAUUCUUACAUCGUGUCUGUUAUUUACACUCAUUCAGCUUGUAUUGAAAAAAAUAUGAGUGAUAAAGACAAAAACCACAUGUACUGUACAGCUGAGGAGAAGCCAGGAAUAAAUACCUCAUUAUGGAUUAGUAGGAUGACAAGCGUGUUCUUUGCCCGUUUUCUUCCCUCGGAUACACGCACAAACACGGAGAGAGAGAGAGAGAGAGAGAGAGAGAGAGAGAGAGAGAGAGAGAGAGAGAGAGAGAGAGAGAGAGAGAGAGAGAGAGAGAGAGAGAGAGAGAUCGGUGAACAAUCAAGAUCUCGUGAUGUCAUCAGAAACAUUAAGGUCAAAUAAUAAUAUUCAUGUACAUAUAUAUUUUGACUCCGACACGUCAACACCCUUACCUCUCCAUUACAAACUGUGUGUGUGUGUGUGUGUGUGUGUGUGUGUGUGUGUGUGUUUGUGCGCACGCGCGCGCGCGUGCGUGCGCGUGCGCUGCGGGUGAGUGUAUUGGCAGCUAAGUGACCUUACUUAGUAUUUCAGUUUACUGGCCGUGUUAGCAAGAAGUGGUACAUUUAUUGAUCGGCAGGGAAGUGUGAACAAGUAGUAAAGCUUGAGCGUCCAAGGUAGCAGCAGAGUUCCCGUUUACCGUGAAUAAAUCUUCGAAAAGUGAAUAGAUUCAUUGCUCGUUUUCAACUUGAGAAGGAAUAUGAAGGAAGCUUGGUCGGAUGGCGGCGGUAUCAGCGGCAGCACUAGCGAGAAGAAGGUGGAAGUGUUGGUGAAGGCUGUGGUGUGGAUGGGAGUCCUGAUAGGUAUCCUUCCCCCUUCUAGCGUCCCCGGAUGCAGAUGCCUCUCCCUAAGAGACCUUGUCGCUUUCAUCACGGCCUGCUUCUGCGCCAUCGGCCCUCCCUCAUUAAUCGCCUUCACCUAUAGUAGGUAGAAACAGAAGGUAGUUAAUUCCCUGAACUCACUUCUUUGUGC